CGGACGGGUUAGUAACGCGUGGGAACAUACCCUUUUCUACGGAAUAGCCUCGGGAAACUGAGAGUAAUACCGUAUAAGCCCUUCGGGGGAAAGAUUUAUCGGGAAAGGAUUGGCCCGCGUUAGAUUAGAUAGUUGGUGGGGUAAUGGCCUACCAAGUCUACGAUCUAUAGCUGGUUUUAGAGGAUGAUCAGCAACACUGGGACUGAGACACGGCCCAGACUCCUACGGGAGGCAGCAGUGGGGAAUCUUAGACAAUGGGCGCAAGCCUGAUCUAGCCAUGCCGCGUGUGUGAUGAAGGUCUUAGGAUCGUAAAGCACUUUCGCCAGGGAUGAUAAUGACAGUACCUGGUAAAGAAACCCCGGCUAACUCCGUGCCAGCAGCCGCGGUAAUACGGAGGGGGUUAGCGUUGUUCGGAAUUACUGGGCGUAAAGCGUACGUAGGCGGAUUGGAAAGUUGGGGGUGAAAUCCCAGGGCUCAACCCUGGAACUGCCUCCAAAACUAUCAGUCUAGAGUUCGAGAGAGGUGAGUGGAAUUCCAAGUGUAGAGGUGAAAUUCGUAGAUAUUUGGAGGAACACCAGUGGCGAAGGCGGCUCACUGGC
rnacentral:rRNA from 1 species